rnacentral:rRNA from 1 species
UACGUAGGGGGCGAGCGUUGUCCGGAAUUAUUGGGCGUAAAGAGCUCGUAGGCGGCUUAGUAAGUCGGCGGUGAAAUACCGAGGCUCAACCUCGGCACUGCCGUCGAUACUGCUAUGGCUAGAGUCUGGUAGAGGAGAACGGAAUUCCCGGUGUAGCGGUGGGAUGCGCAGAUAUCAGGAGGAACACCGGUGGCGAAGGCGGGUCUCUGGGCCGAUAUUGACGCUGAGGAGCGAAAGCGUGGGGAGCGAACAGG